UACGUAGGCAGCGAGCGUUGUUCGGAAUUACUGGGCGUAAAGAGUGUGUAGGCGGUGCUCCCAGUCUGUUGUGAAAUCUCCCGGCUUAACUGGGAGGGUGCAGCGGAAACUAGAGUGCUAGAGGGGUGGGAGAGGUAAGCGGAAUUCCUGGUGUAGCGGUGAAAUGCGUAGAUAUCAGGAGGAACACCUGUGGUGUAGACAGCUUACUGGACCUCUUCUGACGCUGAGACACGAAAGCGUUGGGUAGCAAACAGG
rnacentral:rRNA from 1 species